rnacentral:rRNA from 1 species
UACAGAGGGUGCGAGCGUUGUUCGGAAUUACUGGGCGUAAAGGGCGCGUAGGCGGUCAGAUAAGUCAGCUGUGAAAACCUCGGGCUUAACCCGAGGCCUGCAGUUGAAACUGUUUGGCUGGAGUGUGGGAGAGGAGAGUGGAAUUCCCGGUGUAGCGGUGAAAUGCGUAGAUAUCGGAAGGAACAUCAGUGGCGAAAGCGACUUCCUGGACCAAUACUGACGCUCAUGUGCGAAAGCGUGGGGAGCAAACAGG